UACAGAGGUGGCAAGCGUUGUUCGGAAUUACUGGGCGUAAAGGGCGAGUAGGCGGCCUUCUAAGUCAGGUGUGAAAUUUCGGGGCUCAACCCCGAAACUGCACUUGAUACUGCCUCGCUUGAGUACUGGAGAGGAGACUGGAAUUUACGGUGUAGCAGUGAAAUGCGUAGAUAUCGUAAGGAAGACCAGUGGCGAAGGCGGAUCUCUGGGCCUUACCUGACGCUCAGGUGCGAAAGCUAGGGGAGCGAACAGG
rnacentral:rRNA from 1 species